rnacentral:rRNA from 1 species
GACGAACGCUGGCGGCGUGCUUAACACAUGCAAGUCGAACGGACAGGCCCUGAGUUUGUGCGGUGCUCGAUUGGCGCACGGGGGAGUAAAACGCGAGUAAACUCCCCUUGACUUUGGGAUAACUUUACGGAACUCGGGAGAAUAUAGGGUAGGAGCUCCUGAUGCGUGUGGGGGGUUAGAAAGUUUCGGCGGUUGGGGAUGUACUGGCGGCUUAUCAGCUGGUUGGUGGAGUAGGGGAUUACGAAGCGUUUGACGGGUAGCCGGCCUGAGAGGGUGACCGGCGACCAUGGUACUGAGAGACGGACCAGACUCGUACGGUAGGCAGCAGUGGGAAGUAUUGCACAAUGAGCGGAAGCCUGAUGCAGCAACCUUGCGUGCGGGAUGACGUCCUUCUGGUGGUAAACCGAUUUCGCCGGUGACGAAGCGUGAGUGACGGUAAUGGGUAAAGAAGCACCGGCUAACUACGUG